rnacentral:rRNA from 1 species
AUGCAGAACCCGAGCGUAGACGAGCAGCCUCUGCUCGUGGCCGGAUCCGUGGAGCGGGACGAGAAUGUGGCCGCGUCGGAGGCGAAGCGACUGCUGCGGCUGGCGGGGCCGCUGGUUGCAAGUGGCCUCCUCCAGUGCGCGCUGCAGCUGGUGUCCGUGAUGUUCGUGGGGCACCUCGGCGAGCUUCACCUCGCCGGCGCGUCGCUCGCCACCUCCCUCGCCAACGUCACCGGCUUCAGCUUGUUGGCCGGCAUGGCGAGCGCGCUGGACACGCUGUGCGGGCAGGCGUUCGGCGCGCGGCAGUACCACCUCCUGGGCGUCUACAAGCAACGGGCGAUGCUGGUGCUCGCGCUGGCCUGCGUCCCCAUCGCCCUCGUCUGGACCAACACCACCCGGAUCCUCCUGUUCCUCGGCCAGGACCCGGCCAUCGCCGCCGAGGCCGGCGCCUACGCGCGGUGGCUCAUCCCGUCCCUCGUCCCGUACGUCCCUCUCACGUGCCACAUCCGGUUUCUGCAGACGCAGAGCAUCGUCGUGCCGGUCAUGGCCAGCUCCGCCGUCACGUCGCUGAGCCACGUCCUCGUGUGCUGGGCGCUGGUGCACAAGGCGGGCAUGGGGAGCAAAGGCGCGGCGCUGGCCAGGGCCGUCUCCUACUGCACAAAUCUGUCUAUACUGUCCAUGUACACGAGGCUGUCCGGCGCUUGUAAGAGGACAUGGAAAGGGUUCUCCAUGGAGGCCUUCAAGGAGCUGCGCCAGUUCGCGGAGCUCGCCUUCCCGUCGGCCAUGAUGGUUUGCUUGGAGUGGUGGUCGUUUGAAUUGCUUGUGCUGCUCUCUGGUCUGCUGCCUAAUCCUAAGCUCGAAACCUCAGUAUUGUCCAUAUGUUUCAAUACUGGCGCUCUCAUGUUCAUGGUGCCAUCCGGUCUCUGCACAGCCAUAAGUACACGCGUUUCCAAUGAGCUUGGUGCCGGUAGGCCUCAGGCAGCGAAGCUGGCGACCAGACUGGUCGUAUGCCUGGCCCUGCUGGAAGGCUCGGUGAUCUCUGUCACAAUGAUUCUGCUACGCAGAUUCUGGGGCUACGUGUACAGCAACGAGGAGGAAGUCGUGGCAUACAUCGCCAGGAUGAUACCUGUUCUCGCCAUGUCUUUCUUCAUGGACGGAAUCCAUACUUCUCUUGCAGGUGUGCUAACUGGAUGCGGUGAGCAGAAGAUCGGCGCGCGUGUCAAUCUUGUCGCCUUCUACUUGGCAGGCAUCCCCUUGGCCGUGCUACUUGCAUUUGCCCUGCAUUUCAACGGGAUGGGGCUUUGGCUCGGCAUCGUUUGCGGCAGCCUCACCAAGCUUCUGUUGCUCAUGUGGAUCGUACUUUCUAUAAACUGGGAGAAGGAGGCAAUCAAGGUAAAAGACAUGGUGUUAGGAUCUUCUCUUCCGGUUGCAUGA